CUCCGAUCGCAUGGGAACGGUGUUUUUACGCCGUGCCAGUCUCGCCGCAGCUUGCCCGCCUCCAUAACUGAGACGAUCAAUUACCAAUCAACAUCUCCUCCUCAUAGUGAAGCAUUAAAGCAAUGCAUCUCUAUGGGGAACGCUCAGUGCCGCCACUUCGCUGAAUGUAGGUGCUGCACAUAUGGUUUGAGUGACUGCCACUAGAGGUGUUAUUAGGCAGCAAGGUAAACACUGCCUUUUCUCUGAAAAUCCUAUGUGGGCAGAUUAUAGACAUCAGAGUCACUAAUUUAAGCUGUAGUGUUUCUGGUGACUAAGGUCCCUUUAAGAAUUGUAUUUUUGACGUUGGAAAAAAAACAAACUGGCUCCUAAUUUUUUUAGCUGGCUCCUUGAAUGAAAGCAAAUUUGUCAAGCCCUGCUCUAGACCACUGAGAUAGGUGCUGGCGCUGUGGAAAAGAGAGGGAUACGAUAAUACACGUGUGGUGGGAGUUCGCAUUACUCGUUUUAUAAAAAAGUACAUGCAGCCCUGAUAAGAGUAACAGAAGAAGUGGUUGGUUAUGAACCCUUAACAAUGCGUAUCCCGUACACCCAGGCCCCGAUCUCCAAGUGUAAAUGAUCCACAGUAGCAAGAUCUCUGGUACCUGUCCUUUUGAGGCAGCGUGCAGUCCCAACGUUCAAGAUCUGGGUAGAGGAAAUUAGGUCCAUGGAGGAACAAACUGCGGCAUUAGAGUACAGGACUGAAAUGUUUUUUAGAAGUCUGGAUACCCUGGUUAUCAGACGUAUCUUCAUUGACAGAUGAGAAUAUGCAGAAGCCUUAAACACUCCUGCGGCGCCUCCACAUUAGGAUGGGAGCUUCGAAUA